rnacentral:lncRNA from 1 species
CAAAAGCUAGGUCUGUAUCAACCUCUAGCAAAUUUAGAGACGCGAUGGAAGGGAGAGAGCUGUUUUAUCUGCAGUGUGAUAUAAAAAUACCAGAAUUGUUAUUGGCAAUGAAGUCACAGGUGCUGACCGCACUGUGACACUGGAAGAAACUAAAGCUAGAGGUUAGUGAAAAUCAGGAGGUAUUUUCCCCACAUCCAACCUCAUGGGCCUUCCUGAAUUCCCUCCUAAAUUUUCCACCUGGAGGGUCGACAGGCUGAGGAGGGAGGCUAAGAUACAGGAGAGGAGGCGCAGAGGCCAGGCAGAAAUCCAACUGCCCAACACUGCCUCAGCCUGCAGGAACCCCUUUUCCAGACAGAAAAGGACCUUGAGAAACUUCCUCAAGACUGAAGGUCAAGAGGAAGCUGCAUGCGGAGAGCAGGGGUGCACAGCAGGGGGAGCAGCUCAACUGCUGCGCCCUGAGGCAGACGAGAGCUGCACGCACCCGAGAGCUGUGCACACGUCCGGACUCUUGCUUCUCACGUCAUGCUCAGGGAGCACAGCAAGGCCUGGAUUUCUGCUCAUGAAGGGGCCGCGGAGAGCAACCCCACCCUUCUCUUCCUGCUUAACCGACCCGGGAAUGGUGACAUCCCAACAGCUGUGGGCCUCUGAGGGCUGCACAGAUAGCGAGUUGAAAGUCUUAUAUGUAUGGUUGCAGUCCAUUUUUGAGAUGCUAAAAGUUACUAAUUCUGUGCUGUAGAGGCUAAGAAAUGGGCCCAGAGAGUCCGUGUUGGCCGUAGAAUGAGCACCAUGUCUCAGAACCGCCUGCUUUGUUGAACUUGGGCCCUCGUAGACUAGACCUUGGGUCUAGGUUGAAUGUUAUCCUGCCAAUGUGUAUGUGUGUCAGAGUCCUAGGAGCCUGUCCCUCAGAACUGUACCCUCGUUUGUAAACAGGGUUGUUGCCCACGUAAUUAGUUAAAAUGAGGACAUCCUGGAAAAAAGAUAAACUAAUCCAUCCUGACUGAGGGAGAGAUUAAGAAAGAGAGAGGGGGAACCGGGGGGAGGAGAGAGAGAGGCGCAGGAGAGGGAGGGAGAGGGAGGGAGGAAGCGAGGAUACCGGGAGGGAGGGGGAGAGAGGCGGAGAGGAAGAGUCUGCAAAGACUGGAGUUCUGUUACCACAAACCAAAGAGCUACCAGAAACAAAGAAUAUGGAAACGAAACGCUUAAAGAAAAGCAGAUAAGCCACUGCACCUAGUGCCACAGCUAAUUCUGACAUCUUUACAAGUCACUUACCUUCUCUAGACCAGAAAUGGAUUUCACCUCUAGCUGAAGAGGUUGAGUUUUUCUUGAGUCACCCCAUUUAUCUGCCCAUAAGAGCAACAUAAAACUCCUCGAUUUGGAAUUUGCCCGAGGUGACCUACUGC